GGGCCAAUAGCUCAGCUUGGUUAGAGCGCACCCCUGAUAAGGGUGAGGUCGGAGGUUCAAGUCCUCCUUGGCCCACCA
rnacentral:tRNA from 1 species